GACGAACGCUGGCGGCGUGCUUAACACAUGCAAGUCGAACGGAAAGGCCCUGCUUUUGUGGGGUGCUCGAGUGGCGAACGGGUGAGUAACACGUGAGUAACCUGCCCUUGACUUUGGGAUAACUUCAGGAAACUGGGGCUAAUACCGGAUAGGAGCUCCUGCUGCAUGGUGGGGGUUGGAAAGUUUCGGCGGUUGGGGAUGGACUCGCGGCUUAUCAGCUUGUUGGUGGGGUAGUGGCUUACCAAGGCUUUGACGGGUAGCCGGCCUGAGAGGGUGACCGGCCACAUUGGGACGGGGAUACGGCCCAGACUCCUACGGGAGGCAGCAGUGGGGAAUAUUGCACAAUGGGCGGAAGCCUGAUGCAGCAACGCCGCGUGCGGGAUGACGGCCUUCGGGUUGUAAACCGCUUUCGCCUGUGACGAAGCGUGAGUGACGGUAAUGGGUAAAGAAGCACCGGCUAACUACGUG
rnacentral:rRNA from 1 species